CCUACGGGGGGCAGCAGUGAGGAAUAUUGGUCAAUGGGCUUACGCCUGAACCAGCCAAGUCGCGUGAGGGAAGACUGCCCUAUGGGUUGUAAACCUCUUUUGUCAGGGAGCAACGCCGGCUACGUGUAGCCGGACUGAGAGUACCUGAAAAAAAAGCAUCGGCAAACUCCGUGCCAGCAGCCGGGGUAAUACGGAGGAUGCGAGCGUUAUCCGGAUUUAUUGGGUUUAAAGGGUGCGUAGGCGGAAUGCCAAGUCAGCGGUAAAAUCGCGGGGCUCAACCUCGCUCCGCCGUUGACACUGGCGGUCUUGAGUGGGCGAGAAGUAUGCGGAAUGCGUGGUGUAGCGGUGAAAUGCAUAGAUAUCACGCAGAACUCCGAUUGCGAAGGCAGCAUACCGGCGCCCAACUGACGCUGAAGCACGAAAGCGUGGGUAUCGAACAGGAUUAGAUACCCGAGUAGUC
rnacentral:rRNA from 1 species